rnacentral:rRNA from 1 species
GAUGAACGCUGGCGGCGUGCCUAAUACAUGCAAGUAGAACGCUGAAGGAAGGAGCUUGCUCUUUCCGGAUGAGUUGCGAACGGGUGAGUAACGCGUAGGUAACCUGCCUGGUAGCGGGGGAUAACUAUUGGAAACGAUAGCUAAUACCGCAUAACAGUAGAUGUUGCAUGAUAUCUACUUAAAAGGUGCAAUUGCACCACUACCAGAUGGACCUGCGUUGUAUUAGCUAGUUGGUGAGGUAACGGCUCACCAAGGCGACGAUACAUAGCCGACCUGAGAGGGUGAUCGGCCACACUGGGACUGAGACACGGCCCAGACUCCUACGGGAGGCAGCAGUAGGGAAUCUUCGGCAAUGGACGGAAGUCUGACCGAGCAACGCCGCGUGAGUGAAGAAGGUUGUCGGAUCGUAAAGCUCUGCUGUAAGAGAAGAACGAGUGUGAGAGUGGAAAGUUCACACUGUGACGGUAUCUUACCAGAAAGGGACGGCUAACUACGUG